GGGAGGGGAGGGGAGAGAGUAAGAGAAAAGAGAGGGGAGAAAAAGUGUCAGAGGGGGAAGAGAACACAGGUUCAUUAUGUCCUACUCCUAACAUUUAAACACAGGUUCAUCAUGUCCUACUCCUAACAUUUAAACACAGGUUCAUCAUGUCCUACUCCUAACAUUUAAACACAGGUUCAUCAUGUCCUACUCCUAACAUUUAAACACAGGUUCAUCAUGUCCUACUCCUAACAUUUAAACACAGGUUCAUCAUGUCCUACUCCUAACAUUUAAACACAGGUUCAUCAUGUCCUACUCCUAACAUUUAAACACAGCUUCAUCAUGUCCUACUCCUAACAUUUAAACACAGGUUCAUCAUGUCCUACUCCUAACAUUUAAACACAGGUUCAUCAUGUCCUACUCCUAACAUUUAAACACAGCUUCAUCAUGUCCUACUCCUAACAUUUAAACACAGGUUCAUCAUGUCCUACUCCUAACAUUUAAACACAGGUUCAUCAUGUCCUACUCCUAACAUUUAAACACAGGUUCAUCAUGUCCUACUCCUAACAUUUAAACACAGGUUCAUCAUGUCCUACUCCUAACAUUUAAACACAGGUUCAUCAUGUCCUACUCCUAACAUUUAAACACAGCUUCAUCAUGUCCUACUCCUAACAUUUAAACACAGCUUCAUCAUGUCCUACUCCUAACAUUUAAACACAGGUUCAUCAUGUCCUACUCCUAACAUUUAAACACAGCUUCAUCAUGUCCUACUCCUAACAUUUAAACACAGCUUCAUCAUGUCCUACUCCUAACAUUUAAACACAGGUUCAUCAUGUCCUACUCCUAACAUUUAAACACAGAUUCAUCAUGUCCUACUCCUAACAUUUAAACACAGCUUCAUCAUGUCCUACUCCUAACAUUUAAACACAGGUUCAUCAUGUCCUACUCCUAACAUUUAAACACAGGUUCAUCAUGUCCUACUCCUAACAUUUAAACACAGGUUCAUCAUGUCCUACUCCUAACAUUUAAACACAGGUUCAUCAUGUCCUACUCCUAACAUUUAAACACAGGUUCAUCAUGUCCUACUCCUAACAUUUAAACACAGGUUCAUCAUGUCCUACUCCUAACAUUUAAACACAGGUUCAUCAUGUCCUACUCCUAACAUUUAAACACAGGUUCAUCAUGUCCUACUCCUAACAUUUAAACACAGGUUCAUCAUGUCCUACUCCUAACAUUUAAACACAGGUUCAUCAUGUCCUACUCCUAACAUUUAAACACAGCUUCAUCAUGUCCUACUCCUAACAUUUAAACACAGGUUCAUCAUGUCCUACUCCUAACAUUUAAACACAGGUUCAUCAUGUCCUACUCCUAACAUUUAAACACAGGUUCAUCAUGUCCUACUCCUAACAUUUAAACACAGGUUCAUCAUGUCCUACUCCUAACAUUUAAACACAGGUUCAUCAUGUCCUACUCCUAACAUUUAAACACAGGUUCAUCAUGUCCUACUCCUAACAUUUAAACACAGGUUCAUCAUGUCCUACUCCUAACAUUUAAACACAGCUUCAUCAUGUCCUACUCCUAACAUUUAAACACAGGUUCAUCAUGUCCUACUCCUAACAUUUAAACACAGCUUCAUCAUGUCCUACUCCUAACAUUUAAACACAGCUUCAUCAUGUCCUACUCCUAACAUUUAAACACAGGUUCAUCAUGUCCUACUCCUAACAUUUAAACACAGCUUCAUCAUGUCCUACUCCUAACAUUUAAACACAGCUUCAUCAUGUCCUACUCCUAACAUUUAAACACAGGUUCAUCAUGUCCUACUCCUAACAUUUAAACACAGGUUCAUCAUGUCCUACUCCUAACAUUUAAACACAGGUUCAUCAUGUCCUACUCCUAACAUUUAAACACAGGUUCAUCAUGUCCUACUCCUAACAUUUAAACACAGGUUCAUCAUGUCCUACUCCUAACAUUUAAACACAGGUUCAUCAUGUCCUACUCCUAACAUUUAAACACAGGUUCAUCAUGUCCUACUCCUAACAUUUAAACACAGGUUCAUCAUGUCCUACUCCUAACAUUUAAACACAGGUUCAUCAUGUCCUACUCCUAACAUUUAAACACAGGUUCAUCAUGUCCUACUCCUAACAUUUAAACACAGGUUCAUCAUGUCCUACUCCUAACAUUUAAACACAGGUUCAUCAUGUCCUACUCCUAACAUUUAAACACAGGUUCAUCAUGUCCUACUCCUAACAUUUAAACACAGGUUCAUCAUGUCCUACUCCUAACAUUUAAACACAGCUUCAUCAUGUCCUACUCCUAACAUUUAAACACAGCUUCAUCAUGUCCUACUCCUAACAUUUAAACACAGGUUCAUCAUGUCCUACUCCUAACAUUUAAACACAGGUUCAUCAUGUCCUACUCCUAACAUUUAAACACAGGUUCAUCAUGUCCUACUCCUAACAUUUAAACACAGGUUCAUCAUGUCCUUAAACACUUCAUCGGAGUGUUUCUGUAUGCUUGUUUCUCCCUCAGCUGCAGUGGUGAAGCCAAUGAGAUAAAAGAUCACACACACAUCCCAUAUCUCAUGUCAUCUCAGAAGAGAAAAAGCAAACUGGAUGGAGAGAAUGAGACAAAGAGAGAAAGAGAGAGAGGUAGUCCACUCAGCACUCCCAUCAGUGGAGUAUAAGUCUCUGUGCAUCAGGCUGCAGCUGGCCUCUACAGCCU